ACCUGUCACAAAACGAUUCAUAGCUCCACUGCAGAUAUACCUCAUUAUAGUGGUACCUUGUUUUUCAGUUGUUUUUUAGUUUAAGAUUUUUUCUUUGCAAGACAGUGCACAUCUUGCACAUCCCAUCAACAGGACUUCUUAAAAAGAAAAUGGCGGAAGCACAACAUUUGGAAAUGCAACAUCAAUUAGUAGUAGACGAAGAACAGGUAAUAGCCCGAUCAUGGACAGGGGCAAUUUGUAGGGGAACUUGGGGUAGAAAUCCAGUUCCCGUGAGAAUUAUUUUGAUCACCGACUGCCGUCAAAAUGUCUUGACUCACUACUGAAAAGUAUGCAUCGCCUACAUUUGUUCAUGAACAUGUUUUAAGGGUUUAUGGGCAUGUCAUUUGUCCACAGCAAAUUCACAGGUACUUUGGAAUUGAGCAUUUUGAUAGAACGCUGAGACAGCAUUGCGAGCAGGCUUCAACCACUUCAUUCACGGUGCAAUCAAUCCGGACAACUUUUUGAUCUGUGUACCUAACGAAGCACAGAUCAUUCUAAAGAUCUCCGAAUUUGGGCUGCACGGGAAUCACUGAACUGCUGCCGAAAAUCGAAUUCGCUGUCUCAGAUCCAAUCAAAGUAAAACUAUUUUUCAAUGGAAAAUGAGAAGAAAAUAGUACCUGUGAAUUUGCUAUGGACAAAUGACUUGCCCAUAAACAACUAUAACUUCGUUAGGUACACAGAUCAAAAUGUUGUCCGGAUUGAUUGCACCGUGAUUGAAGCGGAUGAAGCCUGCUCGCAAUGCUGUCUCAGCGCCCAUAAACCCUUAAAACAUUUUCAUGAACAAAUGUAGGCGAUGCAUACUUUUCAUAGUGAGUCAAGACAUUUUGACGGCAGUCGGUGAUCAAAAUAAUUCUUACAGGAACCGGAUUUCUACCCCAAGUUCCCCUACAAAUUGCCCCUGUCCAUGAUCGGGCUAUUACCUGUUCUUCGUCUACUACUAAUUGAUGUUGCAUUUCCAAAUGUUGUGCUUCCGCCAUUUUCUACACAAGAAGGAAAAAAAUAGAAUUUAGAUUUUAAAAAGACCUCGUGAAAAAUCAACAAAAAACGUGUGGCCGUGAGAUGAAAUUUAUUAUAAUACAUGUUACCAUAGAAUUUUCAAUUUAAAGUGA